AAAGGGUGAUAGCCCCGUAAUCGACAUCUCAUCAUCAGUGAAAACGAGUAGGGCGGGACACGUGAUAUCCUGUCUGAAUAUGGGGGGACCAUCCUCCAAGGCUAAAUACUACUGACUGACCGAUAGUGAACCAGUACCGUGAGGGAAAGGCGAAAAGAACCCCUGUGAGGGGAGUGAAAUAGAACCUGAAACCGUGUACGUACAAGCAGUAGGAGCACCUUCGUGGUGUGACUGCGUACCUUUUGUAUAAUGGGUCAGCGACUUAAUUUUAGUAGCAAGGUUAACCGUUUAGGGGAGCCGUAGGGAAACCGAGUCUUAACUGGGCGUACAGUUGCUAGGAUUAGACCCGAAACCAGGUGAUCUAGCCAUGGGCAGGUUGAAGGUUGAGUAACAUCAACUGGAGGACCGAACCGACUAAUGUUGAAAAAUUAGCGGAUGACUUGUGGCUAGGGGUGAAAGGCCAAUCAAACCUGGAGAUAGCUGGUUCUCCCCGAAAGCUAUUUAGGUAGCGCCUCGGACGAAUACUACUGGGGGUAGAGCACUGUUAAGGCUAGGGGGUCAUCCCGACUUACCAACCCUUUGCAAACUCCGAAUACCAGUAAGUACUAUCCGGGAGACACACGGCGGGUGCUAACGUCCGUCGUGGAGAGGGAAACAACCCAGACCGCCAGCUAAGGUCCCAAAGUAUAGCUAAGUGGGAAACGAUGUGGGAAGGCUCAGACAGCCAGGAUGUUGGCUUAGAAGCAGCCAUCAUUUAAAGAAAGCGUAAUAGCUCACUGGUCGAGUCGGCCUGCGCGGAAGAUGUAACGGGGCUAAGCUAUACACCGAAGCUGCGGCUACGUACCUUAGGGUAUGUGGGGUAGGGGAGCGUUCUGUAAGCCGUUGAAGGUGGUCUGUAAGGGCUGCUGGAGGUAUCAGAAGUGCGAAUGCUGACAUGAGUAACGAUAAAGGGAGUGAAAAACUCCCUCGCCGGAAGACCAAGGGUUCCUGUCCAACGUUAAUCGGGGCAGGGUAAGUCGACUCCUAAGGCGAGGCCGAAAGGCGUAGUCGAUGGGAAAC
rnacentral:rRNA from 1 species